rnacentral:rRNA from 1 species
AUACGUAGGGGGCGAGCGUUGUCCGGAAUGAUUGGGCGUAAAGGGCGCGUAGGCGGCCCGGUAAGUCUGGAGUGAAAGUCCUGUUUUUAAGAUGGGAAUUGCUUUGGAUACUGUCGGGCUUGAGUGCAGGAGAGGUAAGUGGAAUUCCCAGUGUAGCGGUGAAAUGCGUAGAGAUUGGGAGGAACACCAGUGGCGAAGGCGACUUACUGGACUGUAACUGACGCUUAGGCGCGAAAGUGUGGGGAUCAAACAGGAUUAGAUCCCCUGGUAGUCCACACUGUAAACGAGGAAUGCUAGGUGUAGGGGGUAUCGACCCCUUCUGUGCCGCAGUCAACACAAUAAGCAUUCCGCCUGGGGAGUACGGCCGCAAGGUUGAAACUCAAAUGAAUUGACGGGG